UACGUAGGAUGCAAGCGUUAUCCGGAUUUAUUGGGCGUAAAGCGCGCGCAGGCGGCGCUCAGCAGUGGCGCGUGGAAUCUCUCAGCUUACCUGGGAGAGGCCGUGCCAAACGGGAGUGCUUGAGGCAGGCAGAGGAUUGCGGAACGGGCGGAGUAGGGGUGAAAUCCGGUAGAGACCGUCCGGAACACCACGUGGCGAAGGCGGCAGUCUGGGCCUGUCCUGACGCUCGGGCGGCGAAAGCGUGGGGAGCGAACGGA
rnacentral:rRNA from 1 species